rnacentral:misc_RNA from 1 species
AACGCACAUUGCGCCCCCUGGCAUUCCGGGGGGCAUGCCUGUCCGAGCGUCAUUGCAAAACCCUCAAGCGCGGCUUGUGUGAUGGGCCGCAGCGUCCGCCGCAGGGCGGACGGGCCCCAAAGGCAGUGGCAGCGUCGUGGCGACCGGCCGCAGUGGAUAGGGACCUCGUCACCACACUCGCGGCGCGUACCGACGCUCGCCUCCCCCAAUCUCAAGGAUUGACCUCGGAUCAGGUAGGGAUACCCGCUGAACUUAA